UACAAAGGACAUUGUUCAAUUUUGGCCUAAGAACCGAUGUGAAUAUAAAUUAUACUAUAAUUUUUAUUUAUUUUUAUAUUGUUUGAAACAUAUUUUAGUAUUCCACGGACACUUCAAAUAAAUAAAUUCCAAAUAAAAAGUUGGGUCACAAUUAUUGAUGCCUUAUAAAAUGUUUCCGUCAGCCAGUGCUGCCAGUUUCGGAAGUUUUCGCGAUUUCGGUAAAUACGGAUCGAACUGAGAACCUCCUUUCCGAAGUCGGUUAUUAAAAUUAUUUGGUAACACUUUAUUCAUUUAAAUACCUAAACUGACUAGCUAGAAAAAAACUAGUAUUCUAUAUGUUUUAAGCAAAAUCGCGAAUUUCUAGCUUGACAUUCGAGUAGGAUUAUAGUUUUCGUAAUUGGCAACACUGGUGUGCUUCAGUCAGUUUGCUAGAAGUCAGUUUGAUUGCUUUGCGACUAUCGUUUCUUUUGUGAUUUUCUAUGCGUUUCAUGGUUUUAUUCUAACAACUUUGGCUUGAUUACGGACUCCGAUUAGAUUGCGUACUUGGUAGACUCGGCUGUGUGUAAAGGACUGGAUUUUCCUGGCAUUUUCGGAUAUUGCUCUGUCUGUGAUCGAAUUUAGUUGUAUUAUAAUUACAACAAUGGAUGCAGAAUAUAGUAUAUUGUAUAAAUUGUGGAUCUGCUGGAGGUUGUUUGGUAUUAGAAAACGAAGAUAUACUUCGUUGCAUACAACAAUGGACUGUUCCCCGUAUGGUUGAAGCUCAUGACCUUAUAUGUACGACGUGUUGGUCUGAAGCAGUCGAGCAUAAUAAGAUGCAAUGCACUGUUGGACGCAAUUGUGUACUUUGUAAGAAGCUCCUACCAUCAGGAAUUACUGUUGCAAUUGUAUCGUUGGGCGUAGAACAGUGGGCUGUUGUGCCCACAUAAUGACUAUUAUCUGGUAUUUAAGCUGGGCGAGAUACCAAAAUUCAAUUGAACCCCCUGCUCAGUUCUUAGAUAAUAUAUUAUUAACAAAUAUUGAUGAUUAAAAACCUUUAAUUGAAUAUAAA
rnacentral:lncRNA from 1 species